AGUGAACGCUGGCGGUAGGCCUAACACAUGCAAGUCGAACGGCAGCACAGUAAGAGCUUGCUCUUACGGGUGGCGAGUGGCGGACGGGUGAGGAGUACAUCGGAAUCUACUUUUUCGUGGGGGAUAACGUAGGGAAACUUACGCUAAUACAGCAUACGACCUACGGGUGAAAGAAGGGGAUCUUCGGACCUUGCGCGAUUGAAUGAGCCGAUGUCGGAUUAGCUAGUUGGCGGGGUAAAGGCCCACCAAGGCGACGAUCCGUAGCUGGUCUGAGAGGAUGAUCAGCCACACUGGAACUGAGACACGGUCCAGACUCCUACGGGAGGCAGCAGUGGGGAAUAUUGGACAAUGGGCGCAAGCCUGAUCCAGCCAUACCGCGUGGGUGAAGAAGGCCUUCGGGUUGUAAAGCCCUUUUGUUGGGAAAGAAAAGCAGCAGGUUAAUACCCCGCUGUUCCGACGGUACCCAAAGAAUAAGCACCGGCUAACUUCGUG
rnacentral:rRNA from 1 species